AUGGCCCGCCGCAAGGUCCCCAUGAGGCUCAUCGAAAAGGCGCGGGCGCGCGCCGAGACGCACGCCAGGAGGACCAAGGGGCUGCAGAAGAAGGCGUCCGAGCUCGCCACGCUCUGCGCGGUCCCGGUCGCGCUCGUCUGCGCCGCAGGCGCGGGGGCUCCGCCGCUCGUGUGGGAGUCGGAGGAGGGAGUGCUCGAGAGGUACCGUCGCGCCGUCCCGGCGGAGACCCGCGCGCGGCACACGCACCGGAGCUACAUGGAGACGGAGCUGGGCAAGGAGAGGGCCAAGCUCGCCCGGACACGGCACGGCUGCCCCGGCGCGCUCGCGGACUGGGACGCUGCGCUCAACGACAUGACGCUGGAGGAGGCGCGCGGGCUGCUCGAGACCAUCGACGCGGCGCUGCAAGCCACGGGAGACAGGAUGGAGGCGCUGGGCAUACCUGCCGACGGCGGCCACGGCCCGCUCGAGGGUUCUUCCCACGAAGCCCUCAUGCCGCAGCAGCUUGGGCAGGGUGGCGGCAACCACAUGGAGGCCGCCGGCUUCCAGCAGCUGCAGAUGGUGCCGUUCCACGCUGGGAGCAACGAGGGCCUACUCGAGCAAUUCUCAUGGGACGAUCCCUUCCGGACGCAGUCAGGGUGCGUCGGCGGCAACUACUCGGGCGGCGGCGACGCGAUGCUCUCGCAAGGCCACGCCAAUGCCGGCUACAAUUACUCGGCCGGCGGUGACGAGAUGCUCACGCUAGGCCUCGCCAAUGUUGACAACAGCUACUCGGGCGGCGGCGACAAGAUGCUCGCGUCGGGCUUCGCCAAUUCUGACUACAACUACUCGGCCGGCGGCGACGAGAUGCUCACGCUAGGCCUCGCCAAUGCUGACUACAACUACUCGGCCGGCGGCCACAAGAUGCUCCCGUCGGGCUUCGCCAAUGCUGACUACAACUACUCGGGCAGUGGCGACGAGAUGCUCACGCCCGGCUUUGGCAAUGCUGACUACAACUGGGCUGAUCUGACCAUGUGGGCCACCGAUGAGUUGUGCGAUGCAGUCAUGCCACUUGGGUGCUACCCUGACUUCGCCGACGGUACUCUGCCGCCCGAUUACUACGCUCGGGUCGUCACUGAAUGGGGACUACGUCAACACACCACCAUCUGGCGGGUACGGGUACACCAUGGCCAUGGGCGUGGGCGACAACUUCACUCAUCUCGACAGCAACUACAUGGCGCACUGGCAUUCGACACAAGUAGUCUGUUGCUAGGCGAAAUGCAGUCGUAG
rnacentral:rRNA from 1 species